GACGAACGCUGGCGGCGUGCCUAAUACAUGCAAGUCGAACGCACUCUCGUUUAGAUUGAAGGAGCUUGCUCCUGAUUGAUAAACAUUUGAGUGAGUGGCGGACGGGUGAGUAACACGUGGGUAACCUGCCCUAAAGUGGGGGGUAACAUUUGGAAACAGAUGCUAAUACCGCAUAAAACCUAACAACCGCAUGGUGUAGGGUUGAAAGAUGGUUUCGGCUAUCACUUUAGGAUGGACCCCGCGGUGCAUUAGUUAGUUGGUGAGGUAAAGGCUCACCAAGACCGUGAUGCAUAGCCGACCUGAGAGGGUAAUCGGCCACACUGGGACUGAGACACGGCCCAGACUCCUACGGGAGGCAGCAGUAGGGAAUCUUCCACAAUGGACGAAAGUCUGAUGGAGCAACGCCGCGUGAGUGAAGAAGGUUUUCGGAUCGUAAACUCUGUUGUUGGAGAAGAAUGUAUCUGAUAGUAACUGAUCAGGUAGUGACGGUAUACCAACCAGAAAGCCACGG
rnacentral:rRNA from 1 species